UCAAUACUCUUUGAUUUCGUCACACACAAUUACCUUACAUACACACUGUAUGUACGACAAUAAGGAAAAUAGUCACAUAGUUACGGGUAUUUUUAUUUUUAUAAUUACAUAUUAUUAAUCUAAAAUCUGCGUCACUGAUUUUUUUUUUGUGAAAACUGUGAUUUCGUGUAAGUAAGAUCGAUAUGCUGCGUGUUUAAUGUACAACUUUUGGAUAUUUCUCGUUUUAUUUUUAAAAAUUUGUUAUUGUCAAUUUACUCAUUUGAUAAAGGAAUUUCGAUAUCAGUUUUAAGUUUUUUUUUAUUUCUGCAAUAGGUAGUUGCGGAAUAAUCGCCUGUGCACUCUUAACGAUUACACCCUGUAUAGUAUAAUACGCCUGCCACACACUCGACGAGUGGUAUGGAAAUAACGAGGAAAGGAGGCAGAGACAUAGUGUGGUAACGUUACUCGUCAUGCCACUUGUUAUGCUCAUCGUCCUGCUCGCUGCUCCCUAUUUUGUCGGUUUUUGCGCGCGAGUCAAAGGACCGACAAUACGAGUACAUAAUCGCGCGAUCGCUGUCCGCAUCGAGCGCUCGCGCAAGAUGCACACGUAUGCCAAAUUGGAAAUUAUGUCGUCGCCAAGUAUAGAAUGGUGUUUGAGGACGAGGACGACGAUGUAUAUUCCUUUUUACUACCUACAUUAAUAUAAUUAGCUACAUUAAAAAUGCAUAGCGCGCACGCUGCCACCGUUUCAACGUCCAUUGUCUCACCAAGGCAAAUGACAAGUGAGGAGCGUCGCGUAAUUAAUUGCGCUUGUAGAGCAGUGUGUGGGUAGAGAGGGCAAUAUCGCGGCGAAUAACGGCAGAGCGAUGAGCAGCGCGAGGAGCAGAGUGUGGCAGGAGCAUAAUACCUCUACAUAAAACCUUAGAAAUCGAGCUAAUAAAGGUCUCUUAGAACCUUCGUUGUGUUUAGUUAGUCUGUAUGGAAUCAUGUUGAGAACAUAUCGACUUAUCUUCGCAUUUAAGUACUUAUAAGGUAUACCGUGAUGGUUUAUGAUAAGGUUCAAUUUUGUUUGAAUUGACAAAUUUACUUUCGCAUUUAUAAUAGAUUUUUUUAUAAUUUUUAGUUAGGUAUUAGUUAUUAGUUUAUUACAUUCAUUUUAAAUGACAAUAAGGAGGUCUUUUAAGUUGCGAAAUUAUUUUUAUUUUUAUUAUAGUUGUAUGAGGCUGUGGGGUUCUUAAUCCUCAAUUACAUAUACUUACUUUUAUUAGUAACAAAUUCAUGUCGGAUUAUUGUCUAUUUUUAUAAAACCUUUUUAUCCGACUUCGACAGAAGGAGGAUUAUGUUUUACAUUGUAUGUAUGUAUAUUUCUUUGGCACUUUUUUCUAGAACUUUUUUCUUAUAAAAUUGUGGUUAUGGAAUUUGUUAAUUUUCCAUUGAGCUAGAUAUUCACUAACUACUAAGCUAUGAAAAAACUGCCAAAAUAGAUAUUAAGUAUUAAAUAAUAUCCUAGAUUAAGGUAACUUCUAAAGAUGUUGACUAAGAAUUGUUAAUCAUUAUCAAUCUUGUGCCUUUUAGUUAGUAAGUUUUUAAUUCUAUUUUUUUUUUCAAUAAAAAGAGAUUUAUAUAAA